rnacentral:rRNA from 1 species
AUUGAACGCUGGCGGCAUGCUUUACACAUGCAAGUCGAACGGUAACAGGCCGCAAGGUGCUGACGAGUGGCGAACGGGUGAGUAAUGCAUCGGAACGUGCCCAGUCGUGGGGGAUAACUACUCGAAAGAGUAGCUAAUACCGCAUACGAUCUAUGGAUGAAAGCGGGGGACCGUAAGGCCUCGCGCGAUUGGAGCGGCCGAUGUCAGAUUAGGUAGUUGGUGGGGUAAAGGCUCACCAAGCCAACGAUCUGUAGCUGGUCUGAGAGGACGACCAGCCACACUGGGACGGAGACACGGCCCAGACUCCUACGGGAGGCAGCAGUGGGGAAUUUUGGACAAUGGGCGCAAGCCUGAUCCAGCAAUGCCGCGUGCAGGAAGAAGGCCUUCGGGUUGUAAACUGCUUUUGUACGGAACGAAACGGCUCUGGUUAAUACCCGGGGCUAAUGACGGUACCGUAAGAAUAAGCACCGGCUAACUACGUG